rnacentral:rRNA from 1 species
GACGAACGCUGGCGGCGUGCCUAAUACAUGCAAGUUGAGCGAUGAAGAUUGGUGCUUGCCCCAAUUUGAAGAGCAGCGAACGGGUGAGUAACGCGUGGGGAAUCUGCCUUUGAGCGGGGGACAACAUUUGGAAACGAAUGCUAAUACCGCAUAAUAACUUUAAACAUAGUUUUAAGUUUGAAAGAUGCAAUUGCAUCACUCAAAGAUGAUCCCGCGUUGUAUUAGCUAGUUGGUGAGGUAAAGGCUCACCAAGGCGAUGAUACAUAGCCGACCUGAGAGGGUGAUCGGCCACAUUGGGACUGAGACACGGCCCAAACUCCUACGGGAGGCAGCAGUAGGGAAUCUUCGGCAAUGGACGAAAGUCUGACCGAGCAACGCCGCGUGAGUGAAGAAGGUUUUCGGAUCGUAAAACUCUGUUGGUAGAGAAGAACGUUGGUGAGAGUGGAAAGCUCAUCAAGUGACGGUAACUACCCAGAAAGGGACGGCUAACUACGUG